rnacentral:rRNA from 1 species
UAAUACGUAGGGGGCUAGCGUUGUCCGGAAUCAUUGGGCGUAAAGAGCGCGUAGGCGGCCCGGUAAGUCCGCUGUGAAAGUCAAAGGCUCAACCUUUGAAUGUCAGCGGAUACUGCCGGGCUAGAGUCCGGAAGAGGCGAGUGGAACUCCUGGUGUAGCGGUGGAAUGCGCAGAUAUCAGGAAGAACACCAACGGCGAAGGCAGCUCGCUAGGACGGUACUGACGCUGAGGCGCGAAAGCGUGGGGAGCGAACAGGAUUAGAUACCCUGGUAGUCCACGCCGUAAACGAUGGAUGCUAGCCGUUGGCAGGCUUGCCUGUCAGUGGCGCAGCUAACGCAUUAAGCAUCCCGCCUGGGGAGUACGGUCGCAAGAUUA